UGGGCACGGGGCCGUCUGUACCCGGAUCCGCUUUCUGGCCGUCGGCGAACAGCGGCGAGGGGCUGGCAGGAGGCUGGCGAGAGGUCAUGGAGAGCGGGAAGGUGCCGGCGAGCAGCCCUAGGAAGAGGGAGUCUAGAUGCCGCGGAGUAGCAGGAGGAAGGAGAGGGAGAGUGGUACCGAGAGGAGGCUGAUGGCGUUUUCCCGUCAAUCCCGGCGUUCGCCGGUGAGGUCGGAAUCAGUCGUCGGCGCCGGUCGGGUGGGAGAUUGCGGCGGAUGGUCUGGCUGGCAUACAUCUGGAAAUAGGGAGGAUCACCACUCAUGUGUACAAGACUUGCAUGGACAGUCGAGUUGAAUUUAAAGUGGAGUGGAAGGAGUUUCUGUUUGAGAAGGACCUUAGUGUUGGCGAUGGUGUACUAAUCACCAUCAGGCGAAACACAUUUUGAGGAGUUCAAAUUGAUCAUGAUCAUCAAGAGUUGCUACAGUUUAGUCAGGAGGCUGUGCGCAUUCAUAUUUUUUAUUGUUACAGUCGAUUGAACAAUAUGUAAUCCAGUGGAUGUUUUGUUAUUUAUUUAGCUUUUAAAGCUACAUGAAUCAGUAUUUCGUCAGUUGAACCUUCUGUUUUUUUUAUGAAUCAGUAUCUCAG